UCACCACCUCCAUACUCAGGAGCAGGUAGUCCAAACUCUGCCUGAGGGGCAACUUCAUCCUCAUCCUCUGGCUUAGCCUCUUCAGGCUCCCUGUAGAAGAACAGGUCAACCUGUGUACAACACAACAUAUAAAACAAGUCAAACACCAAAUAAGAAGAGAAGAAAUGAAAUUACAGAUGUUAAUUCUCUUACCAUGACAUCCCACUUCUGAGCAGGGCGGAUGGUUCCACGCAUCUGAAGGACCAUGCGAGCAAGAAGCCAGAAAAGACAACCAAUGCUGUGCUUUCCCUUGUUGUUGGCGGGGAUACCAAUGUCAACAAACCUCAUGGGAGAGUCAGUGUCACAGAAGGCGAUGAUUGGAAUG
rnacentral:lncRNA from 1 species